UGGGGAAUCUUCCGCAAUGGACGAAAGUCUGACGGAGCAACGCCGCGUGAGUGAAGAAGGUUUUCGGAUCGUAAAACUCUGUCUUUUGGGGCGAACGUGAGUAUGGUGAACAAUCAUAGUCAGUGACGGUACCAAAGGAGGAAGCCACGGCUAACUACGUGCCAGCAGCCGCGGUAAUACGUAGGUGGCAAGCGUUGUCCGGAAUUAUUGGGCGUAAAGAGCGCGUAGGCGGGAUAGUCAGUCUGUUGUAAAGUGCGGGGCUCAACCCCGUGAUCGCAAUGGAAACAGCUAUUCUUGAGUGCAGGAGAGGAAAGUGGAAUUCCCAGUGUAGCGGUGAAAUGCGUAGAUAUUGGGAGGAACACCAGUGGCGAAGGCGACUUUCUGGACUGUGUCUGACGCUGAGGCGCGAAAGCCAGGGGAGCGAACGGGAUUAGAUACCCCGGUAGUCCUGGCCGUAAACGAUGGGUACUAGGUGUGGGAGGUAUCGACCCCCUUCCGUGCCGGAGUUAACGCAAUAAGUA
rnacentral:rRNA from 1 species